AUAUCGAUUCAGGAAAAUUGGAUCAAAAUUCUAAUCGUGGUUAUUAAAAAUCAAUCGCGCAGAAUGUGGAUAUUCGUGUUCAUUCGACUGUCGCCGCUUAUCAGGCGCGAUUUGUUCUGAUUAUCUUGUUGAUAUUCUGGCUGGUAUGUUGGUUUAUUCAACAUUCGUUACGGCAUUCCGCGCAAUUUUUGCUUGAAAGAAGACUCGCGGAUAACUUAGAGAAUAUAACCCAGAACGAUUUCCAGUUUGGACUUUGGUAAAGGAGCUCGUGUGUUCCAUCAACACUCGGAUAUACGCGUGAAAAAACUCACCACACACAAUGCCAAUAAAUUUCGCGUGGUUAUUCGUGAAAUUAGUCGGUGCCGGACGCUCGUAAAUAAAAUUCAGCGCUGCGCCGUGAAAUCCAGCUUACAGUAAUCAUAGGCCGGGUCGAAGUACGACGUUGUUGGAAGAGUUAAGAGAGGCGCUUCCCGCGUAGGCUAAUCGGCUGUUCGGACAUCAGGAAAUAUUUAAUCCCAGUGCUUAGUUCUUAAGCACUUCUGUAAACAGAUCGUAUUCCAAAUUAACAAACGUCUCGUCUCAAUAUUUAUCCUUCUGUCUCUACCAUUAUACCAAAUUUCUCUCGCUUUCUGCUGCAGUCAAUAAAUUUCUGCAUUACAAUAAAAAAAUCACUGUAAUUGCUGCAAA